UAAUCUACCCUCGGGUGGGGAAUAACUCCUCGAAAGGGGAGCUAAUGCCGACACGUGCAUCACUCUCGCAAGGGAGUGCUGGAAAGCCGUACCGUGGGUGCGGCGCCCAAGGAUGAGCUCGCGUCCUAUCAGCUUGUUGGCGGGGUAACGGCCCACCAAGGCUGCGACGGGUAGCUGGUCUGAGAGGACGACCAGCCACACUGGCACUGCGACACGGGCCAG
rnacentral:rRNA from 1 species